UUAAUCGUUUGUAAUAUUAUUUAAUAGUCGUCUUUCUUUUAGAUUCCCACCCAGAACCACCAGAGGUCACCUCAUCUCCAUGAUAACGCUACACCUCGACUUGACUGGUAUUUUUAGGACAGCAAGUCUGAGAGUUAAGGUCUUGAUUACUUAAUACUAGUUUCACCAAGUCAGUUCUGUUACCAUAAAUACUGCGCACUUAUUAUAGUAAUUACAAGUAGCCUAGUAUAAGUAGUAACUACAUAUACAACCCCUGAACCCAACACUAAACCUAAUCCUACUCCUUGUAGUUACCAGUACUUUCUUGGGUAGGCUGACAUUAUAUAGACUUAUUUGGGUUCUUGUCUUAUGUGAUUAGGGCCGGUUGCACAGGUUCGACAACACGGGACACACGACAAUGAAAGACUUCAAGAUCUGCUUUAGGCUCCUAUUGUUGAAAAAAUGUGAAACUCCCCUCGCUGCCGUCACUCUCUUCAUUCUCUCUCUUGCUUUAUUUUCAACUAAGGCAAAAGUGAAAGCUUCUCAAAGUUCAUCAGUGCAUGUGAGUAGAGUUUCCAAGUCUAUUUGGUCACAGUUUUCCGGAAAACUUCAUCAGAAGAUAAUUUGCAGCCUCUGGUGCGUCAACACAGAGACCAGCAUCCACAGCAGCAAAGAAUAAUGGGAGCCAAUUGGUCGUAUAAGAUUGUCGGAGCGGUGGCAGGCGCAGUGACUGGAAGCUGUUUGGCCAUUUUAGUACUGGGGACCUCGGUCAUCAUUCUAAGUAAAGGAAUGGAGGUAUUUACAGUCAUCACGGGUGGAGGAGUUACAGGAGGAGCUGCGGCAGGAGCAGCGGCGAUGGCAGGGAACGUAGCUGCUGGUAUGGUUCUCGGAGCUCCGGCUGUAGGAGCAGUUGGAGGAGCCAUCCUCGGAUGGUAAGCAGCAGAAGACUCUGGUUCAAUGCGGGAUGCAAUGAAGAGAGCAGUAGAUGUUAACUUUGACAUGGCGAAACACACGAUUGAGAAUGUACACCAGUUUGCGGAUGUUGCUUUUAAAGCUAACAAAAUGGCGAAUACACAUAAAACCAAGUAAAGACGUAACAUUACAUUUAUAAAAAGGGAUCUGCACAAAUAUUGUGGAGCUAAUGUAUCAUUGGGAUCACGGGAAAGAGGCAUAAUGUCUGAUUUUGCUUUAGUGUAAUCAAACUAUUUGACUUUUUUUAAAGAAUCAAGAUGCAAGGUUUACUAUUAGUGAGAAAGAAGUAUAUUUACUCUCUAUUCAGUACAUUAACUUUUUCGAGGGAUCUGAGAAUGUGUUAACUGAACUUAAUUUUGGACAGAGAAACCAGUAUAUCUGGAGUGAGUAGUUUCAGUAAAGGUUGGUCCUGUAAAAUGAAAGUAAAACAAAAGGAAGUUUGUUCAUACUGAUGCUGGUGAAAGUAAAAAUAAAAAAGCUACUCUUCAACUUCUGCGAUGAAACCAAAUAAUGAUGGGCAACGCUGUUGAGUUUCUGCUUAUUUCUUCCUUAAUGUACUUUUAUUGUCCACUUUUUAAGUCCAACUCUAACAUAAACUAAAAGAGUGUACUAAAGGGGAACUAUUGCACUUAUACUUUGGGUACAUUUGAAAUAUCUUGCAUUUAAAUUGCAAUGGUGACAUUGAAACAUAUUUAAACAUAUAUUAACUCUUUAAUUUUAACAAAAUAAUUUGAUAAAUAAUAUAUAGGGUUCUGUAUAAGGUACUGGAUCUUAGAGCUGCGCUCUGCACCAUAGACCACAACAUUACAACAUUUUGUUGGCAUUAGUGGAAGUGCCUAGCAUUGUUUAAAUCAUGUUUAUGAAGCUGCCAUCAGUUAGUAAAAGUAAAUAAGGAGGUAUCAUAUCAGUCACAAGUGAAGUCUGGUGUUCCUCAAGGCUCAGUGCUAGGACCGUUACUUUUCACACUUUACAUGCUACCUCUGGGAGAUGUUAUCAGGAGACACGGUGUUAGCUUUCACUGUUAUGCUGAUGGCCCAGUGAUACACACCCAACUGAGAAAAGGAAGGCAAAGUCAACAUAAAAAAACUGGGUGACAAGCCAUUUCUUAAUGCUAAAUUCUAAAAAAACAGAGGUGUUAAAUAUUGGACCUAAAACCCCCACAUGUAACAGCGUAUUAAUCACUGUAUAACUCCUGAUGGCAGCUUUGCUAAUUCUUCUGCAUCAGUUAGGAGCCUAAGUGUGCUACUACAUCUCAAAAACAUCUCAAUUUCGAUGUACACUUUCAAUUCAAACACAGAAAUAUUAAUUCAUACAUUUUUGAGGUUAGAUUAUUGUAACGCUUUACUGGGUGAUUGUUCUGCAAUCUUGAUAAACGAAUCACAGCUGGUCCGAACCGCAGCAGAUAGAGUCCUUACUACCGCACUGUAACGUCACUGUAGCGCCAUUUUGUGGAGCA